rnacentral:misc_RNA from 1 species
GAUGAAGAACGUAGCGAAAUGCGAUAAGUAAUGUGAAUUGCAGAAUUCAGUGAAUCAUCGAAUCUUUGAACGCACCUUGCACCCUUUGGCAUUCCGGAGGGUAUGCUCGUUUGAGUGUCAUUGUACUCUCACACUCUCCGAUCCUAUGGAUUCGGGGAGCGGUGGACUUGGGUGUUGCUGCCUUUCCCUGUGGCUCACCUCAAAUGCGUCAGUGCACCUCUUGGUUGGACAUAGUACGGCGUGAUAAGUGUCUUCGCCGGCACCUCGCAAGAGGGUGGCCGAUCGGGAGCUCUGCGCUUUCAAACCGUCUUCGGACAAUUUCUGACAUCUUGACCUCAAAUCGAGUAGGACUACCCGCUGAACUUAAGCAUAUCAAUAAGCGGAGGA